AUGAACGCUGGCGGCGUGCCUAAUACAUGCAAGUCGAGCGAACAGACGAGGAGCUUGCUCCUCUGACGUUAGCGGCGGACGGGUGAGUAACACGUGGAUAACCUACCUAUAAGACUGGGAUAACUUCGGGAAACCGGAGCUAAUACCGGAUAAUAUAUUGAACCGCAUGGUUCAAUAGUGAAAGACGGUUUUGCUGUCACUUAUAGAUGGAUCCGCGCCGCAUUAGCUAGUUGGUAAGGUAACGGCUUACCAAGGCAACGAUGCGUAGCCGACCUGAGAGGGUGAUCGGCCACACUGGAACUGAGACACGGUCCAGACUCCUACGGGAGGCAGCAGUAGGGAAUCUUCCGCAAUGGGCGAAAGCCUGACGGAGCAACGCCGCGUGAGUAAUGAAGGUCUUCGGAUCGUAAAACUCUGUUAUUAGGGAAGAACAAAUGUGUAAGUAACUAUGCACGUCUUGACGGUACCUAAUCAGAAAGCCACGGCUAACUACGUG
rnacentral:rRNA from 1 species